AUGGAACCGUCUUCACAACCUCAGCCUGCAACGGGUGAUGUCGUUGCUGGUGGAUCACAAGUGUAUCCUGCCUCAGCCUAUCCACGUGCAGCAACAAUAGCGGUAGCUCCUGGUAUCAUUCCUGCCGGUUCACAGCCAGCAUCACCAUUCCCUGCCAAUCCAGCCCAGCUCAACGCUCAAAACCAGCUUAUCUACGAGCAAGCGCAGCAAUUUCAGCAGCAGCUCCAGCAGCAGCAGCAGAGGCAGCUGCAGCAGUUCUGGGCCGAACGACUGUCGGAGGUUGAUCAGGCCACCGACUUCAAGAACCACACCUUGCCACUCGCCAGGAUAAAGAAGAUCAUGAAGGCCGACGAGGAUGUCCGCAUGAUCUCUGCCGAGGCCCCGGUGGUCUUUGCGAAAGCGUGCGAGAUAUUCAUACUGGAGCUGACGCUGAGGUCGUGGAUGCACACCGAGGAGAACAAGCGCCGGACCUUGCAGAAGAAUGACAUCGCCGCCGCCAUCAGCAGGACCGACGUCUACGACUUCCUGGUGGACAUAAUCCCCAGGGACGAGAUGAGGGAGGAGGGGGUUGGGCUUCCCAGGGCCGGGCAGCCGCCGCUCUUGGGGGACACGCCGUACCCGUACUACUAUCCGCAGCAGGUGCCAGGUGCGGUGAUGGGGUACGGUGGCCAACAGGUGCAGCAGGGCCAUCUGCCGUAUGUGUGGCAAGAUCCUCAGGAGCAACAGCAGCAGGGCCCUCAUGCGGAGCAACAUCAAUCUGAAAGCGGCUGA
rnacentral:rRNA from 1 species